rnacentral:rRNA from 1 species
CGCGUAGGCGGUCUUGUCAGUCCCUUGUGAAAUCCCCCGGCUCAACUGGGGAACUGCAAGGGAAACAGCAGGGCUUGAGUUCGGGAGAGGGAAGCGGAAUUCCGGGUGUAGCGGUGAAAUGCGUAGAUAUCCGGAGGAACACCGGUGGCGAAGGCGGCUUCCUGGACCGACACUGACGCUGAGGCGCGAAAGCUAGGGGAGCAAACG